UACGUAGGGUGCGAGCGUUGUCCGGAAUUACUGGGCGUAAAGAGCUCGUAGGUGGUUUGUCGCGUUGUUCGUGAAAACUCACAGCUCAACUGUGGGCGUGCGGGCGAUACGGGCAGACUGGAGUACUGCAGGGGAGACUGGAAUUCCUGGUGUAGCGGUGGAAUGCGCAGAUAUCAGGAGGAACACCAGUGGCGAAGGCGGGUCUCUGGGCAGUAACUGACGCUGAGGAGCGAAAGCGUGGGGAGCGAACAGG
rnacentral:rRNA from 1 species